AGGUUCGGGGCCAGUUUUGUUUGAGUAUAAGCGAAGUCUGCUCGAGAUUCCAAUUGCCAAGAUGUUAUACCUGCUGAGAUCUUUGAUUUGGCUUUUGGUGAUGAGAAGUCUCACAAUAUAGAGAACUAAAUCACUAAUGCCCUGUCGGAUCUUAAGAUGAUACCUAAUUAUUUAUUAAGGCGUGAACCUACCUGACUUGAGUUCGGUGUUAAGCUCACGAUGUUCCACGACAGAGGAGGGACUGUUGGAAGAGAAGGAGGUCCUACUCAUCUUGAUAUAUUAUCUCAGCCACCAGAUACUAUUCACGGUUCAUUUCAUGUUUGGAUUAACGGGGAAAGCCGUACAGAAAUCAGUGUUCGAUUCUUCAAAGCUCUAUCUAACGACUAAUAUUGGCCAACGACAACAAUUGCGUUAUUAUCUUGCUGCAACGAAUCAGGGUCCAUAAGUAAAUUGUUUUUGAGAUUCAUGCUUAUUUGAAUCCAAUCAAAGUUAACAAUACUAGCAUUGAAGGCAGGUUCCCACACAACAGUUCAAUUAGUUACAACUUACAAAUGCAGCUAAUGAUGUUGAAAGGUUCUAAAUUGGAUGGUGAUAUAUGAAUUGAAUAGCAGCUGUAAGUGGAAAGCAAUGUAAAAGCUAUGUAUAAUUCUUCUGUCUUCAGUGAAUAAAAAUACAAUGGAACCUGUUUCAUCAAAUUAUUCUUUGUAUUAAAAACCAUCAUGGAUUAGCUCUCGACAAGUAGUUUUGUAUCAA